rnacentral:lncRNA from 1 species
CGGGGGACGCACGGCGGCGCCUCGCGCCGGGGCUGGACGGAGCGGGCGCGCGCGCGAGACGGGAGGGGACGGGGAGGGGAGAAGGGGGAGCCCGCCCCGCCGCGGCGCCCGGCGCGCGCUCCCGGCCCGCCCCGCUUCCGCCCGGCGCCGCUCUCCGUGCGGCUCUCGCUCUCUCUCUCUCGGCCCGUUCCGGCCCGGCCCUGCUCCGCCGCGCCCCCCGACUCCCGUCGGGCAGCCCCGCCGUCGUCAUCGCCCCCGCCCCCCGCUGCCAGGCGCUCCGGCUGGGGGUGACCCGCCGGUAGGGCCGCCUCGCUCCGCAGCGCGGGGCCUGCCCGCCGCUCCGCCUCGGGCCGAUCCGUUGACGGUCGCCGCCGCGGAGAGGAGGAGGAGGAGGAGGAGGCCGGAGCCGGGAUGUCCGGGCAGCAGCAGCAGCAGCAGCCGCCGCCGCCGCCGCUCCCCUUGGCGGCCGCCGCCGCUCCCCCGCCGGCGCCGGGGUCCCCUCGGCCGCCGCCAGCCCCGGCCCCGCGCCGGCCGCCGCGCUUCUGCUCCACCCUCCGCCGCCGCCCGCCACCGCCGCGCCGCCUCCGCCCGCCGCCGGCAGCACCGGGCCCGCGGGGGCGGCGGGGGUGGCGGGGCGCCGGGCUUGGCGGCGGGGAGCGGCGGCGGCGCCCCGGCGGCGUUCCCGCACGGCGAUCCGGCCUUGAACGAGCAGGAGAAGGAGCUGAAGCGGCGGCUGAAGAGGCUGUACCCGGCCGUGGACGAGCAGGAGACGCCGCUGCCCCGCUCCUGGAGCCCGAAGGACAAAUUCAGUUACAUCGGCCUCUCGCAGAACAACCUGCGGGUUCACUACAAAGGUCAUGGAAAAACUCCAAAAGAUGCUGCUUCUGUUCGAGCUACACAUCCUAUACCUGCAGCCUGUGGCAUAUACUAUUUUGAAGUUAAAAUUGUCAGCAAGGGAAGAGAUGGGUAAGUAAUGAAUGCAUUAUUAAUUAUUACUUAAACUAAUGAUUCAGUCAUCUUUCUUUCAGUCAACACGUGUUUUUGGUAUCAAUGCUUCUUUCAUAUGUUCACAGUUUUUAUGUAGCUUAAUUCAUUAUUCAUGACAAGUUGCACCCUGAUAUUUGGUAAAGUAAGUUGAUGGUGGUAUUAGUUAUCCACAAAUCAGUAUAUGCAGUGAAUACCAUGAUAACACCUCCUUGUUUGCUCUUGACCGAGAAGUUGGGGUUUAAAUGACUUAGUUUGUGCCUGCUCUUACCUUUAAUGGUGUGGUAUGUGUAUACAGAGACGAGGUAGUUUUUAAGAAGUGUUUAGGAUGUGCAGCUGAUGAACUUACCUCUGCAGUGCAGUCUUUUCAUGGAUGCUCUAUUAAUUUUAAAAAGUGAAGUUGUCCUCAAAGCUACUUUUUAUUGAGCAGUGAUAAGAAUAAAGAAGAACACUCUGAGUGGAUGUCUGGGAAUCCGUCACUAUGGAAAGAACAAGAGUGAGUGAAUGAGUACAGCUGGUGUUGUGAAGGAAUAUUUUGAAAAGCUGGCCUCUCAGUGUUGCUGUUGCCUUUGAAGGGUGUUUGUGGUAGUUUGUUAUCAGUUCUGUUCUCAAAAGUUCUCUUUGGGAGACUUCUUUGCUAUCAGAAUCUUGCACCUGCAGUUGCUGUUGUCACAUUGCGAAGACCUAAGUAUCUUUAAGUUGAGACAGUAGUAAUUCGUGUUUCUGGUAAUGAUUUCCUAUCAGUUUAGGAACAACUUUUUUUUUUAACUUAAACGUUAGGAAAAAAAUCUGCCCUUCUGCUGGCAGUUAAGAGUACUGUGAUUUGCUGAUGAUGCAUAUGCCUGCUACUGAAAUACAUUUGUGCUUGUUAAGAUUGGAAGUUGCUUUUUUCCUUUUUUUUAAUUUAAAUGAUGGAUUUUAAAGUGAUGCCAAUGUGUAUGAAGGAGAGAGUGUUGUUUUACCGAACUUGGCUGACACUUAAACCUUUGCUGCCUUUUAGUCAGUUCUAAUGCAGAAGAUUGUUCGGGGCAGUCUACAAAAGUGGAAGCCACCUUCAAGUAAUGUAUUUCAAGAUUUAUGAGGUGUCCAUAAUUAAGACUUGUGAAGUUACCUGCAAAGAGCAUUUAAAAAAUCUGAGGGAAGCUCAGUAACACAUUACUGCCUUGCUUCACUCUUGAUCUCUUUUUCAGUGUCACUUUCUUGAAAUAUCUUGAAAUAUCUGCAUAAUGAGCUGUUCAUUUUCUUCAUAGUGUAAUAUAGCAUAGGUGCUGGGGAAUACUGCGCACAGAGCCAAGGCUACAUCUAGCUUUAGCUGCUGAAGAGCAGGAACUGGCAUGGACCCUCAGUGGAUGUGUCUGUCUUGAGACCCCGUUUCAGUACCAGGAGGCCUCUGACAAGAUGCAGUGUCAAUCUCAUAGUUCUGUGUUUUGCUGAGUUGAAACUAAUAAAUUAUUUUCAAAUUACUAAACUGGGGAAUGUGAUGCAGAGACAUAUCAGUAGGUCUACAGAGAAUGGUUUUAUAGGGUUCAUUAGUUCUUUCUCACUCCCUGUUGUUUCAACUGGCUGGCUCCACACACAGUCUUAAGAUUUUUUUUCUUCUUGGCAUCUGGUAAUGGGAAAAGAGUUCAUGAAGACCACGACUGUAGGGGACCAGCAUCAACUAAUAUAAUCAAUUGGUUGAAAUGCCUUAUUGUUGCAAAAGAAUCUACUUCCAAGUAGAGCCUGGCUGUGGAAGCACAACAGCCCUUAUUUUGUGGUGCUGUCUAAAAUAAAAUCUGAGGCAACUUGAGUAUGUCUGCAAGAUUAGAUACGGCUUGCAGACUUCUUAAAGCCAAUGGAUAAUAUAAUGCUGUUUGCAGUUCCCUUUGGUAGUGGCCUUUACUUUUAGUAUUUGUUUUAUAUAAACGUUGCUUAAAGUAUUUAAUCAGUGAAUUAAAUUACAUGAGCAAGCCUGGCAGCAUUCAUGUUUGUGUACUCUAGCUUAGUGUGGCUUGCCUCAAAUCAUCAAAACCCUUUACUAAAAACCUUGUCUAGGAGAUCUAAUUUUUUUGCCACCAUAGAACUUGAUGGCCCUGUUCCAGGAAUAUGAUAUUGAGUAUCUCAAGGUUCCUGAGCAAUCACAAAGCUGAUUUUGCCACCUGCAAAGUUGGAGCACAGCUCUUUUUUGUAUAGGGCAUGGUUCUGACAGGGCUUCCACUAUGGUUUGUCGUAACUGCCUGGGAAGCAGAAUUGAUUUUGUUGCUCUGGUGACCUAGGCCACUAAAUUCUGUAUGUAUUUGGGGGAUGAUAGUCUUGAGUAGUAGUCUUGAAAGUGCAUAAUAUAUUCAUUUUGCAUAGUGAUUAACUUAGAGGCAUUAUGGACAUACUGAAGAAACCACGAAAGCAGGCUUACUGGGAAAUAAGAAGCAGAUAUGGAGGUUAGUGUUGCAGAAUAGAUCAAGAGUGAAGUUGUUUUUUGAUCGUAAGUGAGAAAUGAUGGGGCCACGCAACAACUGAUGGUAACAGAUGAGAAAAAGGGAAGUGAGAAUGAGGUUUAAUAAAAGUAAUAAGGUGGAAAUAUCUUUCAAACAAAAACUGUUUUGAUGUUUGUACAGUGCUUGGCAUGAAGAUUCUUAAUGUCCUUUAUGUGCUGCUACAGUGCAGAUAUGUGAAUAAUUCUUAUCAAACUUUAAAAAGUUCUUGUUAGAAGUGCUAACCAGCUGUCAUAUUGUUUUCUAAAUCUUUUCUGUUCUGCAUUUCUUCAAUUUUUUAAAUCCCAUGCCUCCUUUUGCAUUCUGAAGACCUCUUUCUGUUCUCCCUUUAUACUCUUGCUUUGUUUUGCUUGGCCUCGCAUGAAGCGUUGUGGACAGGGAUGUGAGUGGUUAGAGAUAAUAACAGUAGGUGAGUAAUGGAUGUGGGACGGGGAAUAGUACGAAGGUGGUUAUUACAAGGCAUGUUAGGAAGAAGACUAUUAAUGUCAAUAAGCUAUAUCCGGAUCACUACUGAAAUCUCCAAUUAAUAGAAAUAUAUUUCAAAACAAACAAAAAACUCUAAUAAAUAUGUAAGUCAGAUUUGAGAGUGUUGCAGCAAACGCUUUCAAAGUAUUCUGAUACGGUAGAGGAGGCUAAACAUAGUUUUAGCUUUAAAUUAAACCUUUUUAAGCUCGUAACAGUUCUCAGUGUGAAACUGCUCUGUCAGAGAACUAGCAAUAACAUAAGAGAUUCUUUCUGUAAUUUCUUACAACUACGGCUUUAGUGUCAUCUAAGUUUCUAGAGUGGGGCUUAAUUAUACCAGUGUACGUCUGUGGUCUGGGAAUGGAAAUGAACAAGGGUGUGCUAAUUCCUGUUCUUGUGACUUGGGAAUCAAUUACAGUCCCCUUACUUUCCAGAAGUGACCCCCAUGCGUCCGUUCUCUUUGCUAGGCUGGUAUGUGCAAAUGAGGAUAUAUCCAGUCUCUCUCAAUUCUUGAUUUCACUUUGCUCGUGCUGCCUUCCACUGAGCCGUGCUAAUCUUUUACACAUACAGCUCCUCUAGCUUUGUGUAAAGGACAAAUGCAUCUGCCUUACAGCCCAGCAUUUUAUUUCAGAUAGCAGCAAAUGCCGCCUUCUUUUAUGCAACUGAAAGUUCCUUACGUGAUGCAGUUUUAGUUUAUGUAAGCUCUAAGAGUUGAUCAAUGGCUUCUGCAGACAUUCUUCUUCAGUGGUCAAGCAUCAUCUCUAUCCUCUGUUAGGAGUAUGAGCUUUACUGUACCCUUUGGUUGCACUCUUUGGGCACUCUAGACUUAAAGAUACUCCAAUUUCACUUUCCUAAGGGCUGUCUGAAGGGUGUCCAGUGGCUACCAGAAGCAAAAUGCUGUCCUGUCAUUCUGCGUUAUAAAUAGCUUGUGUGUAUUGCAGGGCGAUCAUCCAUUUCUGCAUGAGUUUCAGUCCUAGGCUUGUUGAUAUGUGUAGUGAAUCUCCUCUUUUCCAGUCAGAGCAGGUUUUUUUGUUGUGUUUACAGUUUUUAUUCUAAGCUGUGGUUUGAAUGCUUUGUGGUGAUUCAGCCAUGAAAAGCAGCAGCCUCUGAACGCUCGCUGAGGUCUCUUCCCCCUGUCCCAGUUUGUAGCUGUUUGUGUUAGCUACGUGAUAAACCUGACUGGGUAGCUUCUUUCCAAAAGCUGACCUCAAGAGUGAGUUGUUUUUUUAGCCUAAUUAGUUCCCAGGAUGUCUGUUUAUACAGCAGCAUACAAAGAGAGGGCAUCUUGGAGCAGAAAUGAGCAUCUGCCCCCUGGGAGGGUGGGAGGGAAUGCCACUUCUGGAUGUGGCACCAGCUCAUGUCCACCUGAUGUUAGUUCAAAUGCAAAGUUUAAUGGCUUUUAAGUCUUUCAUCUGGAGAGUGUGGUUGUUGGUUUUUGGGUUUUUUUGGGUUUUUUUUUUUUGUCAGUUUCCUUCCCUGGAAAAGUAAACCUUUGGAGAAAAUGCAUUUAUACUUCAUGUCUUUAACACUGUCCAUUCUUUAUCUCAUGCGUUGAUUUGUAAACCCAAUUUUGAACAGUGGGCAACUGAUGCUAUUGUCGUUUAUUUCUAGACAAUCUUUUGUACUUUUAGAACAGCUGAGGAAGAUACAUCCUUAAUUAUAUCCACUCAGAGGAUUUUAUCUUCUUUUUUUGAGAAGAAUGAAAUCAAGAAUUGGAAAUGCAAAGUUGUUUAGAAGAAAGAAAUAGCGAAAGCUAAGGUUGGAAAGGCUGUAGUGCUUUUAGCACAGAGCUAACACCUCUGUGAGAGCGACUGUUCAGUCUGUAGUGUGGUUGUACUGAUGCAGGUAUUUACAGACAUGCUUUGUAUUGCACUUGUAAGAUCUGCUAAACAUCCUGUACCAAAAUCAAAUGGUUACAGCAACUCACAAGUGUAUCAGUGUGGUUUUUAGCAGCACUGCUGGUGAUGCCUUGCGGCACCUGUUGGCUUAUGGCUGUUUUUAACCACUGUCCAAUACAACUAGAUUUCUGUUUUGGCUAUGUCUUGCAGUAUAUAUUGUGUGUGUGGUGAGAAACCAUGCUUUCUUGCAAAAAAUGUUGCUGCUACAAUAAGUUGGCUUUUCCUUUUAGCAUCCAGUGUACCCAUUUUCUUGUAAACAGACCACAGAGUAAUCUUUGGUUGCUGUUUUGUUUGUGUUUGUUUUGUAUGCUACUAACCUAACAGAAAAACUUUGUGUGGUCUUAAGAUCUAUUUUUGUCCUUCUGCUAUGUCCUCGGAAAGCAGUUAUUUGUUGCAAUAACAGUCAUUUGUUACCACAACAUGCAGACUUCACUUACCCUCUAUUUACAUGUUGUUGGCAUUAUUAGCAGAGUACUUGUGUAUAAAGUAGAAUUAAAACAAGGAAAGUCUGAAGUAGCUUUCUUAUCUUAAUGCUCUGACGUGAAAUAUAGCAACUGCAAGAGGAGAUUGGAUUGUGAAAUAGCAAGUGUGUUUUCUCUUAAACUGUAGUGCUACUUUGUUUUUUAUCCAUACAGGAGGCAACUGUAGUUCUUUCCUGCUUGUUAAACAUGUGAAAGUGUAGGAGGAUUAUUUGAGGUAUGUAUUUAAUAGGUCAGAAAUACCUGUAGCUUACAGAAAGUAGCUUAAAGUAGCUUAAAAUUCUUACAGAAUUUUAAGUUAUCCCUUUCUUACAAGGUUCAGCCACAUAAAUAAACUGCAUAGAUGAUAAUCUCAGUGUCUUGCAUUACCUUAUUGUCUGUGCAGCUGUUCUUUUUUUCGGCAGCAGUGUCACCAGAAAGGCUUUUGUUCUCAAGAAGUGUCACUAGACAGAAACGAUGCAACCUCAGAAAGUGAGAGGGCUAUCUGAGGGUUGGAGCAGUAAAUCGCUAUCUCUAGGAUCAUUAUAGGAAUGACAAGGAAAAUGCUAGAGGAAUAAGUUUCACGCACCACCGAAGAUGACUGUCUGGCUUUUUUUCCUCUCCAUGUAGAACUAGAUCCAUCUGAAAGCUGGGUUUAUCGUGUUCAAAAUACUGUUUCCUUGGAAACAUUUCACAGAAUUAAACUUGUUUUCGGUUUGAAACGAAAGACUCAAACUGUCUAUGGCAUAUUUUGAAACACUUACAUAGAGAAAAGUUUAACAGCUCAUAUCUUAUUGUGAAUGUGCAGACAAUAAGAGUCUCAGAUUAGCAUAUUCCUACAAAAUUUUAAUGCAGACUAGCUCUGUUAAGGAUGACAUUUGGAUACCUUCUUAGUGUGCUGUAUUUCUGACCUUACAGUGCACUGUCAGUAAAGACAGUGUAGAAAAUAAUAGAAAGAUACUAUUUGGACUUUGUAUAUCCUUGCAAGUCAGUCAGUUGUGUGGACUCUAAAGUUUAGUCUUAAGAUUCUUAAAGAUGUUGUGUUUUUUUUUUUCCUCCUCUUACCCUUUUGUAAGAUACUAACUUCACAGUAAAACAAAUUGCACCUGUUGUAUAACUGACUUUUUUCAGCACAUGUGAAAAAUGAGGAUUUUUCGGUUGCCUUAUUUAUGAAUUUGAAGUCAGGCAGUGCUUGGACUACGUAGGUCACUUUCUUACAGAUAUUACAGAAACUCUGGUUUUACUACUGUAUGGUGUUCAGUUGCUUUCUUCAUAGCACGUAGGUGCUAUAAACCUACAUGCUUUAAAACUUUAGGCUCCAGCGAGAAUGCGAGUUUAGCUCAUUGUGUGGAAAGAUUCAUGAGGAAGGAAGAGUUAUUGUGAGCUUAAUGCUGCUCAUACAUUUCAAGGAAGCCCAAGCUUUUUGGUAUUAGUGGAGAAUAAAAGUACUUAGCAUAAUGUCUGUAUUUUUGAUGUUUGCAUUUCUUUUACUAUGUGGAAAACAGCUGAAUCUUAAUUUGGGUAAUUCUUCUCACUGAAACAAGUCUUACUGCAGGUAAUGGCUAUGGACCUAAAUGUGAGCUAAGCUGGUCUAAAAAGCAAACAAAAGUCUUUCUGAAGCUAUGAAUCUUAGAGUUGCCAGGGAAAAAUAAAAAUUAAACAGUUGCAUGUAGCAGUUUGCAUCAGUACAACUUUGAUGUAUUUUGAUGAAUUUUAUGGCAUCUAAAACCUGUACGUUGUGAUACUGUUUCACCCCUCAAUUUACAGUGUACUUUAUCUUGUUUACCUAGUUGAUUAACUACCCAUCAACUAGAACAGAUGGUGUUAGCCAAAUUUUGCUCAUUUCUCAACCAUAAAUGGUAGCCAUUCCUUUCUCCUUCUGAAGGGUGUCUACAGUAGACGUGUCAAUUAUUUAAAAUGUUUGAAUCUAUUUAAUCUAAUUGUGGUUGAAUUUCUAUUCAUGCCAUGUUCCUCCGAUGCAGUGUUGUUACCAUUCAGCAGUCCUAAGUGAACCCCAGGGAAAAAUAUGUAUUGUAGACAUCCAUCUCCUUACCAGUAUGGUGUCAGCAGUGUUUUAGUCACCACCGAUGGCAGAAUCCUUGUUCCCAAUUGUACAGAUUUUGCUGAAUAUCUUAACUCAGUGACUGCACCUUUACCAUUGUUAGCAAGCUAAAGAGGAGCCUAAGAAGUUGCAGAGUAUGUUAUGAGAAUGUGAUCUAGUGAAGAAACUGAGUAGAUGAGGUUGAUGGUUGGACUUGACUAUCUUGUAGGUGUUUUCCAACCUGUAUGACUCUGUGUUCAUCUGAAGGAAAACAUAGGCAGUACCAAAUAUGUUUCCUAGGUGAUCAUUUCCCAUCAAUUAUCUUCUGUUUUUCUGUAUAACCUAAAUCUCAGUCUCUGUAAGAAUACUGAAAUAUACCUUAGGUUUGGUUGAACAUGUUCUAAUUGGCUUGAUUUGAAAGACUUUCAUCAGUUGAUGGUUAUCUAAAAAUAAAUAAUGUCUUGAAUUUGUCAACAGAAGACUUUACAAUAGUGGAUUUUCAGUCUUUACGUGAGAAUCCUUUGUGCAUCAAACUCUACGAUGCUUUUUAAGACAAAAUCAAUGGUUUUCCACUUGUUGCUUUCAUUUGUUUUGUUGUCUCUGCUGUAGUGGUGUCUUAGUGAUGUAAUUCAAAAUGCGGAAAAGACUGAUGCUUUUGUCUGUUGCCUUUUUGCCUUAGCUUUUCAGUAUCCCUAGAUGGGAUAUGGGUAGUACAUAUGUUUGUGAGGUUCGAUUUCACCCUAUUAGUGAGUUGGAGGGUAAGGAGGAUUGAUAUCACAAUUGAUAGUAUCAGAGGAGGGACGAUGUAGAAUGUCAAACAUAGAAGCAGAUAAGGUUACUAUUGGAGGUGAUCGUUACAAAAAGCAGAAAUCCCUUUAUGCAGUUAAGCGUAUGACUUGUGUUUUCCUGCUCAGGUUCAUUCUAUGUGGAACAUAUUUUAAAUAGCAGAUUAAUUUGUGUUUCCUAGUAGAACAGUUGCAUUAAAAACUGCCUUUUACUAAAUGAGAAUACAAAGGUUAUGCUUAUUGUCAUGAGCUGUUUUCAAAUUGGUACAGGGAAAUAUAUUUUGUUAAUAUGGCUUAUUCAGUAUUUCCUGGUAAACUUAUGCUAAAUAGUUUGAACUGUUGUCAGAAUAAUUUGCAUGCUUUGAUAAUCUAAGAAGUGUUAAGUUCAGGUGACGGUACUGGUUUUUUUGUUGUUUGUUUUGGUUGUGGUGUGCUGGUAAAAGCCAAGCUUUUCAUUGUGGUGUUUUUCUUUUUGAUUUCCUGCCAGCAUAAUUGUGAAGUAACUUUUGCUCAACAAACAGAAGCCGAACUGAUUUCACUCACUUGAAAGACUGUUCUUGUGAGGGUGGAACUGGGUUGUUAUUCAUUUUGACUUUCCAUUAUUUGCUAUUAAAUUGCUAAAAGUUGUAUUGGAUGCUGACUUUAUCAGAACUUUUUGUAGAGCUGGCUUUGGAGAUUGACCUAGCAACAACUUACUUAGACUUCGGAUUACUGGUCAGCAAAAUAAAUAAAAAAACUUCCUCUUUAACUUUGCCAACAGAUUCCUAACAGCUAAGUAAUACUACUGUGAAAUUUCUUAAGAUAGCAUUCUGCUCCGUGAUCCAGGCCUUUCAUGUUUUAGUUUGAUCUUCCUGUGUCAUGCGAGGAUGCAUUUUGCUACUGAAACUAUGCAGCUUUCCAUGCAUUUCAUAAAAUUACUCAAUCCAGACUGCAAAACAUGAUUGCAUACAUUGAAUAAAAAUGUGAUUAGGCCACUUUCUUCAUUCAUGCUCUGAACUUUACGUACUGUCUGUACUCUCCAUGAGCAACCUGAGAUGCCUGGAAGAGAAGAAUGUUAUCAGAGACUGUCUAUACUAAACAAUAUAUAGCAGGAAUGACUCUUGUUGAGUUCUCUUGAUGUUAUACCAGUAUUAAAGGACGUCUUGGUAGCUUAAUUGGUGUAUGAUUAAUGCAUGCAAUGUUUCUUGGCAACAUCCCACAUGUAUACAUAUUUUUUGUAAGAGACAUAAAUUUCUCCUGUUAUUUUUACAGAUACAUGGGGAUUGGGCUUUCGGCACAGGGUGUCAACAUGAAUAGGUUACCAGGUAUGUUUUAGUACUUCUAAUGUUUGAUAGGUUACUCAUAUGGUUCAUUUUGGUUUGAAGUCUACGUGAUUUUGAUAGGAAAGCUCUGGUAAGCACCAGAGUGUAGCAUGGCAUCUCUGUGUUGUAUCUAUUUAUCUGCGGUAUGUAAAACUUGCAGGUAGAAGGCUUUGCUUUCUGUUGUGUUACUGCAUAUUUGUUCCUGUUCAUUGACAAUGUUAUGCAGGUACUGUU